UGUUAUGUACAUUCCUAAAAUGUUAAUGCAUUGGAUCCCAUCAAAACUCCACAGUUAAUCAGGAUUGGGCUAGAGUAGUACUGGGAUGGGUGACCUCCCAAGGAUUCCUAGUGUAAUGC
rfam:Picea glauca, whole genome shotgun sequence.